rnacentral:piRNA from 1 species
GCCCAAUAUGUGUCAAGAUUUGAUCCCACU